CCAUCACAAUCUGUUGCUUCUCAAGAUGCCCAGGAAAUAAUCCGCCCACGUCGAUGUAAAUAUUUUGAUACAAAUAGUGAAGUAGAAGAAGAAUCUGAAGAAGAUGAAGAUUAUAUUCCAUCAGAAGACUGGAAAAAGGUAGUUAGAACAAUAUUUUCCCAAAAUUUAGAUAAAUUAAUAUUUUUUAAAAAAGCCUCGUGUAAUUAUUUUUUUUUUUUACUAACUAUGUAUAUUGAUAAAAUCGAUGUAAGCCCUUUUAUGACAUUUAAAUGUUUAGUAAAUGUUCAAAUUCCUUCUUAACACAUCUAGGUUAGAGAUAUAUUUAUCUUUUUAUAAAAUAAAAUGAAUUCAAAGAAUUGGUUUUUGUUGAGGAAGUCAGCACUCAAACUAAGAUUAGAAAUCUACAUUUCUGGCAGGGUGCGGUGGUUCACGCCUGUAAUCCCAGCACUUGGGGAGGCUGAGGCAGGCGGAUCGCUUGAGCCCAGGAGUUCGAGACCAGCCUGGGCAGUGUUGCGGGACCCUGUCUCAUUUUAUAAAACAGAACAAAAAAUAA
rnacentral:sRNA from 1 species